AUUGAACGCUGGCGGCAGGCCUAACACAUGCAAGUCGAGCGGGGUUUUCGGACCUAGCGGCGGACGGGUGAGUAAUGCGUAGGAAGCUACCCGAUAGAGGGGGAUACCAGUUGGAAACGACUGUUAAUACCGCAUAAUGUCUACGGACCAAAGUGUGGGACCUUCGGGCCACAUGCUAUCGGAUGCGCCUACGCGGGAUUAGCUAGUUGGUGGGGUAAUGGCUCACCAAGGCGACGAUCCCUCGCUGGUUUGAGAGGAUGAUCAGCCACACUGGAACUGAGACACGGUCCAGACUCCUACGGGAGGCAGCAGUGGGGAAUAUUGGACAAUGGGCGCAAGCCUGAUCCAGCCAUGCCGCGUGUGUGAAGAAGGCCUUCGGGUUGUAAAGCACUUUCAGUAGGGAGGAAGGGUGUUGUGUUAAUAGCACAGCAUUUUGACGUUACCUACAGAAGAAGCACCGGCUAACUCUGUGCCAGCCGCCGCAGUAACAC
rnacentral:rRNA from 1 species